rnacentral:rRNA from 1 species
AGCGAACGCUGGCGGCAGGCCUAACACAUGCAAGUCGAACGAACCUUUCGGGGUUAGUGGCGGACGGGUGAGUAACACGUGGGAACGUGCCUUUAGGUUCGGAAUAACUCAGGGAAACUUGUGCUAAUACCGAAUGUGCCCUUCGGGGGAAAGAUUAAUCGCCUUUAGAGCGGCCCGCGUCUGAUUAGCUAGUUGGUUGAGGUAAUGGCUCACCAAGGCGACGAUCAGUAGCUGGUCUGAGAGGAUGAUCAGCCACAUUGGGACUGAGACACGGCCCAAACUCCUACGGGAGGCAGCAGUGGGGAAUCUUGCGCAAUGGGCGAAAGCCUGACGCAGCCAGGCCGCGUGAAUGAUGAAGGUCUUAGGAUUGUAAAAUUCUUUCACCGGGGACGAUAAGGACGGAACCCGGAGAAGAAGCCCCGGCGAACUUCGG